rnacentral:pre_miRNA from 1 species
AGUGGAAUAACUGGGUCAAAUGGUGGUUCCAUUCUGUGUUUUCUGAGGAACCUCCAUAUUGAUUUCCAGAGUGGUUGCACCAAUUUGCAUUCCCACCAGCAAU